rnacentral:rRNA from 1 species
ACGGGGGGUGCAAGCGUUGUUCGGAAUCAUUGGGCGUAAAGCGCGUGUAGGCGGCUUGACAAGUCAGAUGUGAAAGCCCUGGGCUUAACCCAGGAAGUGCAUUUGAAACUGUCUCGCUAGAGUAAGGGAGAGGAAAGUGGAAUUCCUGGUGUAGAGGUGAAAUGCGUAUAUAUCGGGAGGAACACCAGUGGGGAAGGCGACAUUCUGGGCGUAUACUGACGCUGAUGCGCGAAAGUGUGGGUAGCGGACAG